UUUUGUAUGUUGGAUAUGUUGAGUUAUUACACUGUGAACGCUGCUUUUGAUUACUGGGGAAAAGGAACCACGGUCACUGUCACAACAGCCACUUCAACUGCACCCACUGUGUUUCCUCUGGUACCAUGUGGCACUGAGAGCGGAGAUAUGGUCACUCUUGGCUGCCUUGCCACCGGCUUUAACCCUCCUGCAGUGACUUUCUCGUGGAACAAAGGCAGCACUGCCUUGACAGACUUCAUCCAGUACCCUGCAGUACAAAAAGGCGAUGUUUAUACUGGAGUCAGUCAAGUCCGAGUGAGGAAACAGGACUGGAAUCCACAACAGAAUUUCCAAUGUGUUGUGAAUCAUGCUGCUGGGAAUGCACAGGCUGAUAUCAGACCAACACCGGUGUUUAAGCAGAAUCCAACUCUUAAAGUGUUUUCCUCCUCUUCUGAUGAGGACGGUACCUAUACUGCCUCCUGCUUUGCCAAAGAGUUUGCACCAAAGAAACAUGGCAUAAAAUGGCUGAAAAACGGAGCAGACGUCACCAGCAAAAUAGAUCUGACCGAAACGGUUUCUGACUCAAAAAAUGCGGCUGGAAAAACACUGUACUAUGCAACAAGUUUUCUCACAGUAAAUUCCAGUGACCUGAAUGAUAAGACUACAUUUACAUGUCAGUUUACUGGAGGAGAAGAUGGAUCUUUGAAUAAAACUGUGCCUUACAAAGUAAUCCCAACAUGUCCUGAUUGUGUUACAUCUAAUGUGAAAGUAGAAAUCACUGGCCCCGCAACUGAGGACAUGCUUUUAGAUAAAAAAGGAACUCUAACAUGUCGAGUCACAGUACAAAAAGAUAAACCUCAAAUAAUGUGGGAGGAUGAGAAUAAAGAGGAGAUAGCAAGUAAACCAAUGAUUGAAGAAAAUGGGAUGACAUACUUGUCUAAACUUGACAUCACCUAUGACGAAUGGAGCAGGGGGGUAAAGCGCUAUUGUGUUGUUCACCACUCAGAUUUACUCACACCUUCAAGGGAACCUUAUGAAAGGGAAUUCGAUCUUCUCAUCGGUGACUAUCUGGAGUUUCAUCACCCUGGACUAUCUGGAGACGAUAACAUAGCAAGCGUAGCCAUCGUCUUCAUCCUUCUCUUCCUCAUCACUCUGCUGUUAAUCUUUGGAACAACUGUUAUCAAGGUCAAAUAAAACAAAUGGACUGUGAAAGGACCUUUGAGUGUGGUGAAAAAAAUAUUUCUCAAACAUUUUUUUUCAUAUAAUCUCAUACUAUCAUGUAAGUAAUCACAACUGCCUUUUUUAAACUGCAAAAGCUUUAUCUGUCUUUAAAAAUAAAUGUUUUAAUUAAGA